CCUACGGGGGGCAGCAGUGAGGAAUAUUGGUCAAUGGCCGGAAGGCUGAACCAGCCAAGUCGCGUGAGGGAAUAAGGCCCUAUGGGUCGUAAACCUCUUUUGUCAGGGAGCAAAGGCGUCCACGUGUGGACGAGAGGAGAGUACCUGAAGAAAAAGCAUCGGCUAACUCCGUGCCAGCAGCCGCGGUAAUACGGAGGUCUCAAGCGUUGUUCGCAAUCACUGGGCGUAAAGCGUGCGUAGGCUGUUUCGUAAGUCGUGUGUGAAAGGCGCGGGCUCAACCCCGGCGAGCCGUUGAAACUGGCUGUCUUGAGAUGUCGAGAGGUAUGCGGAAUGCGCAGUGUAGCGGUGAAAUGCUUAGAUAUUGCGCAGAACUCCGAUUGCGAAGGCAGCAUACCGGCGGCGAUCUGACGCUGAGGCACGAAAGCGUGGGUAUCGAACAGGAUUAGAUACCCGAGUAGUC
rnacentral:rRNA from 1 species